rnacentral:rRNA from 1 species
AUGUGGAGUUGGCGUGCCGAGGCAGCACUCGGUAUUGUCAAGGGCCUAGAGUACUUACACGAAGGAUGCAAUUAUCCAAUCAUUCAUUGUGACAUCAAGCCUGACAAUAUAUUGUUAGAUGACAAGAAAAAUCCAAAGAUUACUGAUUUUGGGAUUGCAAAGCUUCUUAGUGACCAGCAGAUGCACACCACGGUGACUAACAUCAGGGGCACAAGGGGCUAUAUUGCCCCCGAGUGGUUCCAAAGUGAUAGGCGCAUUGACACCAAGGUUAAUGUUUACAGCUUCAGCGUUGUGCUACUAGAGAUGAUAUGCUGCCGGAAGUGCCAGGAGCCGGUGACCGGGCUGGAUGGUGACGGUUCAGUCACACUGUUUUGGUGGGCUGGUCAGUUGGUCUGUCAUGGCAAGAUUGAGGUUUUGUUGCAUAAUGAUGAUGACACCAUUGAGGAUUUGGUCAGAGUGGAGAGGUUCAUGCGUGUUGCACUCUGGUGCAUUGAGCAGAAUCCUUCGCUCCGUCCGACAAUGCACCAGGUGGUGCAGAUGCUGGAGGGCGUGGUUGAGGUCGACACUCUACCUGCUCCUAAAAGCUCCAACUGUUCAUCACCGUUGACCUCUUCGGUCGACGGGAGCACUCUGUUGCCAGGUGGUGCUAAUCUUGAGAUAGAGUGA